AUCUAACUCCUUGUCGGUGUGCUUGCACGUCGGCAUCGGGUGUGUUCGAUAAGUCAUAACGACUCUCGGCAACGGAUAUCUCGGCUCUCGCAUCGAUGAAGAACGUAGCGAAAUGCGAUACGUGGUGUGAAUUGCAGGAUCCCGUGAACCAUCGAGUUUUUGAACGCAAGUUGCGCCCGAAGCCACUAGGCCGAGGGCACGUCUGCCUGGGCGUCACGCA
rnacentral:rRNA from 1 species